ACGAACGCUGGCGGCGUGCUUAACACAUGCAAGUCGAACGGUGAAGCACCUUCCUUUUGGUGGGUGUGGAUGAGUGGCGAACGGGUGAGUAACACGUGAGUAACCUGCCCCCUUCUUCUGGAUAACCGCAUGAAAGUGUGGCUAAUACGGGAUAUUCUGUGCCUGCUGCAUGGUGGGUGUGGGAAAGAUGCGCUUUUGGGUGUUUUUGGUGGGGGAUGGGCUCGCGGCCUAUCAGCUUGUUGGUGGGGUGAUGGCCUACCAAGGCGGUGACGGGUAGCCGGCCUGGGAGGGUGGACGGUCACACUGGGACUGAGACACGGCCCAGACUGCUACGGGAGGCAGCAGUGGGGAAUAUUGCACAAUGGGCGCAAGCCUGAUGCAGCGACGCCGCGUGAGGGAUGGAGGCCUUCGGGUUGUAAACCUCUUUCGCCAGUGAAGCAGGCCUGUCCCUUGUGGGUGGGUUGACGGUAGCUGGAUAAGAAGCGCCGGCUAACUACGUG
rnacentral:rRNA from 1 species